rnacentral:rRNA from 1 species
GAUGAACGCUGGCGGCGUGCCUAAUACAUGCAAGUCGAGCGAACAGACGAGGAGCUUGCUCCUCUGACGUUAGCGGCGGACGGGUGAGUAACACGUGGAUAACCUACCUAUAAGACUGGGAUAACUUCGGGAAACCGGAGCUAAUACCGGAUAAUAUAUUGAACCGCAUGGUUCAAUAGUGAAAGACGGUUUUGCUGUCACUUAUAGAUGGAUCCGCGCCGCAUUAGCUAGUUGGUAAGGUAACGGCUUACCAAGGCAACGAUGCGUAGCCGACCUGAGAGGGGUGGCGGCCACCUGGGAAAGGAACACGCGCCCCGGCCCCGACGGGGGGACGCGGUGGGGAUGUUUCCGAAAGGGGCGAAAGCCUGAAGGAGCAACGGCGGGGGAGUGAAGAAGGUUUUCGGAUCGUAAAACUUUUUUAUGGGGGAAAAAAAAAUGUGUAAGUAACUAUGCGCGUCUGGAGGGUACCUAACAAGAAGGCCCGGCCAAACUACGG